GAAGAUGUCUAAACUGGAUGAUUUGGAGGUUUUUUUAAAGCUUAAAAACACAGUCAAACUUUGACCCUGCUGCUGCUCCAUUUCAAAGUUCCCUUUAUGGAUUCAACACACUCCAAUCAGUCACCACAGCUGCUGCAAACAAAGAAAAGCUUUCAGGCCCCACAUGAGACGUGAUUGACUGCUUUGCACGGCCCUUCUCCUCCGCUGCAGCAGUGCAUCGUGGGAAACGGCGGAGAAUCUUCAAUAACGGGUAAUCACGGCUGAGCAAACAACAUCAAACCCUAACACCCAGGCGCCGGAACAUCCUGAGCAGUCGUCCCUUCAGUCUCACACACUGCAGUACGUGCAGAGUGGUGGCUAGCUGGAUCCCAAGCUCGUGUCUGGGAGGAGAACAAAUCGACUCCUUCAUGGCCCGGUGAACCAUCGACUCGAUAACCAGCGGAGUCUUUCUGAUAGAAAAGAUGCAUGGUGCUUUAAACCAUCGCAGGCUUCUGCUCUCUUGCACCCCCCUGUCCUCCUCCCUUUCCAUUACCCUGGGCUUGAAACCGCUGCUCCAUGACACUGGGCAUCACACAGAGAAUAAAAAUGAGGUGAGGCGGCUGGAAAAUGUAACGUGUCGUCGAGCCGCAAUCGCUGUUUCUUAGUGAUUUAGGAACCCCGGGCCGCAGUCGAUUAGGGUCAUUCAUACCGGGUAAUGUAAAUACAGAGAUGGUGGGGUUGCUCAUGUGAAGAAGGGGAAUGUUUGCUGAGGUUAUUGGUAAUGGGAGAGUUACAGUGUGGUUUAUUUUAAAUGGUGGUCAAUGGGUUUUUCUGCAUAUAGACUGGCAGGGUUAUUACAGCGUAGCAUUUUGAAAUAUAACCAUAAACUCGAAGGAAAAAGAGUUCACGUCUGACAUUUGUUUUAUGACUUUAUGCCAAGUUGUGCUGCAGUGCGUAUAUUUCUCGAAGCUGUGUGUGUGUGUGUGUGUACAUUCACUCUAGUACUGCACACAUUUGAGGUUUUGCUUCUACUCCACUAACUUUAUCUGACAGCUUUAGUUACUUUAAAGUUUCAGAUUAUUAGCAAACACCACUUGGAAGUCGAGUAAUAAAUAGGUAAGGGAUAAUGUGCAGCGAGGCGGCCAUUUGUCUUUUCUAAAUUGCUAAGGUGAGUUUAGCAGAACAGGUGAAAUGAGGAGGCUUGUGCACCAAUCACCUUUAAACAGUAUGUUUGUUGCCACUGCCCGUGCAUUCCCUACCAGAGAUUAGCUCGUUUACUCCUAUACAUUUUGACUUUUACUGGGCUACAAUUUUAUCUCUUGGAUUGUCCUUCAAAUGAACCCUGUCUGAUAUUUAUACCUUGUUUGAUGACUUGACUUGGGCUCGGAUAUAAGAAACUACUACAAGUGAUUACAUUUGAGGUGAACUAAGGACCUAAAUACUCCUGAAAAGUUCCUUAAGUCUGAAUUUUAAAGCAUUGAUGUGAUCGUGUGACAACCUGCUCCGUAUAAGUUGUGACGCUGCUAUUGAAAGUCAAGUACAUACAAUAAAAAUAAGUGUAUUAAUCAAUCAAAAUCAUGGGGAAGUUGGAUUUCAUGCUAUUUUUAAGAAUGGAAUAAAUGUAAUGAUAAAAUAAUAAUAUUGAUCUGAAAAUGUAAAAUGCAUGACUCUUAAUUGUAGGGGUGUUUCACAGUAUUCCUCUUUUUACUAAAGUAUACAAUCUGGGUAAAUAAAGAGCAAAUUACCUUUGAAAAAGCUUGUUUAUGUGAUGAAAGGCGUUACACUCUUGAAUUCCUCUCAGGCAUUACAAAAUAAAGCUACACAUGCAUAAGAAUUA